rnacentral:rRNA from 1 species
UUUUCCUACGGGAGGCAGCAGUGGGGGAUAUUGCACAAUGGGGGAAACCCUGAUGCAGCGACGCCGCGUGGAGGAUGAAGGUUUUAGGAUUGUAAACUCCUUUUGUUAGAGAAGAUUAUGACGGUAUCUAACGAAUAAGCACCGGCUAACUCCGUGCCAGCAGCCGCGGUAAUACGGAGGGUGCAAGCGUUACUCGGAAUCACUGGGCGUAAAGAGUGCGUAGGCGGGGUAAUAAGUCAGAUGUGAAAUCCUGUAGCUUAACUACAGAACUGCAUUUGAAACUGUUACUCUGGAGUGUGGGAGAG